CAAAAACGGUUUUUUUUUUCAUUAAAUAUCGUACAAUUAUUGUCAAAUUCAAAAUCACUUUAUUCAUGUAGGUCACGGAAAUGACACUUAUGAAUGUCAAAAAAUUAAAAUAUUUUUUCUUAUUGAAUUUACCGUUGUUUUGUCAAGUAUUAACAUCCGUUUCUCUCCACCACCACCAAAAAUGAAAACUAUAGAGUGGCUUAUUUCUUAAAGGCCCAGUGAAUAAAAAUUAACAAUAUUGUAUUUUGUGUACAGAAAGUUGUUGCCGGUGAAUAUGAACGGCUUAGAAGAACGUCAACAAUAACAACACUACAAACGAGUGCUAUUUACAUGUGUUAAAAUGGCAGCCGGAAAAAGCUCAUCGGAAAAGCCAUAUUACAAAAUAGAAGAUGCGCCACAACUAUUUAAAAAGUUUAUCAAAGAUUACGACAGAAAGUACGCAAACGACGAAGAUAGAAAGAUUCACUACGACGCGUUUGUGAGAAAUUUAGCGAAGAUAAACAAAGCAAAUGCUACCAUUCCAGAGGCGACCUUUGACAUCAAUAAAUACUCCGAUUUCACGCGGGAGGAAAGCAGGCAUUUGCUUGGAUUGUCGAAACGGAAAUGAGUCAUAAUAUUGGAGUUGACGAUGACAAAGAAGAAAAACACAAUUACAAUGUAUUGAUAACCAUUUUAAUUUUAAAUCUUAAACAGUUUGUAAUCCAUUAAGCUAUGUCUUCAAAAAUAAAGUUUAUUAAUUAAUAUGA